rnacentral:tRNA from 1 species
GUAGCUCAGUUGGUAGAGCAUCCGCCUUGUAAGCGGGAGGUCAUGAGUUCGAACCUC